rnacentral:rRNA from 1 species
CCUACGGGAGGCAGCAGUGAGGAAUAUUGGUCAAUGGACGAGCGUCUGAACCAGCCAAGUCGCGUGAAGGAUGACUGCCCUACGGGUUGUAAACUUCUUUUAUCAAGGAAUAAAGUGAGGCACGUGUGCCUUUUUGUAUGUACUUUAUGAAUAAGGAACGGCUAACUCCGUUCCAGCAGCCGCGGUAAUACGGAGGAUCCGAGCGUUAUUCGGAUUUAUUGGGUUUAAAGGGAGCGUAGACGGGUUGUUAAGUCAGUUGUGAAAGUUUGGGGCUCAACCGUAAAAUUGCAAUUGAAACUGGCAGUCUUGAGUACAGGUGAGGUAGGCGGAAUUCGUGGUGUAGCGGUGAAAUGCUUAGAUAUCACGAAGAACCCCGAUUGCGAAGGCAGCUUACUAAACUGUGACUGACAUUGAGGCUCGAAAGUGUGGGUAGCAAACAGGAUUAGAUACCCGAGUAGUC